GACGAACGCUGGCGGCGUGCUUAACACAUGCAAGUCGAACGGAAAGGCCCCUUUGGGGGUACUCGAGUGGCGAACGGGGGAGUAACACGUGAGUAACCAGCCCUUGACUUCGGGAUAACUUCAGGAAACGGGGGCUAAUACCGGAAAGGAAUCCUUGCUGCAUGGGGGGGGUUGGAAAGCUUCGGCGGGUUUGGAUGGACUCGCGGCAUAGCAGCUUGCUGGUGGGGUAGUGGCUUACCAAGGCUUUGGCGGGUAGCCGGCCUGAGGGGGCGACCGGCCACCCUGGGUCUUAGGUACGGCCCCGGCUCCUACGGGAGGCCGCAGUGGGGAAUCUUGCCCGAUGGGCGGCAGCCUGAUGCAGCAACGCCGCGUGCGGGAUGACGGCCUUCGGGUUGUAGACCGCUUUCAGCAGGGGCGAAGCUUGUGGUGACGGUACCUGCAGAAGAAGCACCGGCUAACUACGUG
rnacentral:rRNA from 1 species